UGGGUGUCUGCUAUUGUCCCGAGGCCUGAG
rnacentral:piRNA from 1 species